GUAUUAAUUGCAUAUUAUUGCAAGAGACAUUCUACACUGUAUCAAGUUUUGUGUGAAAACGUGAGCCCUCCUGCAAAGGGGGACCCACGCGGUGAUGCACAAGGGGUGAAAUGGAUGUGUGAGAGUGCUCAGGCGUGCACGACCUUUUGAAAGGUCAGCGACAGCCCUCGCACCCCCGUUGUAUGAUAAUGAUCCUUCCGCAGGUUCACCUACGGAAA
rnacentral:misc_RNA from 1 species